rnacentral:rRNA from 1 species
UACAGAGGGUGCAAGCGUUAAUCGGAAUUACUGGGCGUAAAGCGUGCGUAGACGGUUAUGUAAGUCAGAUGUGAAAGCCCCGGGCUCAACCUGGGAAUUGCAUUUGAGACUGCAUAGCUAGGGUGCGGAAGAGGGAAGCGGAAUUUCCGGUGUAGCGGUGAAAUGCGUAGAUAUCGGAAGGAACACCAGUGGCGAAAGCGACUUCCUGGUCUAGCACUGACGUUCAGGCACGAAAGCGUGGGGAGCAAAUAGG